UACGUAGGGCGCAAGCGUUAAUCGGAAUUACUGGGCGUAAAGCGUGCGCAGGCGGUGAUGUAAGACAGUUGUGAAAUCCCCGGGCUCAACCUGGGAACUGCAUCUGUGACUGCAUCGCUGGAGUGCGGCAGAGGGGGAUGGAAUUCCGGCGUGUAGCAGUGAAAUGCGUAGAUAUGCGGAGGAACACCGAUGGCGAAGGCAGCCCCCUGGGAUAACACUGGACGCCUCAUGCACGAAAGCGUGGGGAG
rnacentral:rRNA from 1 species